rnacentral:lncRNA from 1 species
GAUAGCACCAGUCAUGCCUGCCUAUGCCAGUUGAAGAACUUACUGCUCCUCUUCUGAAUGCAACUAGACUGUAGAUCUUACCAGGUUGCAGGAAGGAUGUGUACUGUCAGCAACUCUCAGAAGGCUGAACAAACGAGUCCCACAGCAGCCCUGGGAAGGAUCUCUGCUGUACCUUUUGGGAGGGCAGAUUUUUUACUGGAGGCUAGCACGUUUUGGGGCUGUCUCUGAUCUCACACGGAGAGAAAGAAAAUGUGCAGUGAAAAGUUUACUGGAUCCAGAUGCUGAAACAGAAGACACCCAGAUGUAUCUGCAUGUGGAAAAGAAAGACUGAUAAUGACUGAACAAAUCUAUGAAACGAGUAGCCAGAAGAGAGGAUAAAAUGGUCCGAAAUGCAAAAUUCAUAAGGAAUAGCAAAAGGCAAGAUACAGAUACAGUGGAGAUACAGAUACAGCGGGAAGGAGCAAAAUUAGGUGAAAUUAAAUAACGUUAAAGCCAAAUAAGUUCUAUAUGUUAAUAAACAUAUAAAUAUACAGGUAAUUAUGCA